rnacentral:rRNA from 1 species
GACGAACGCUGGCGGCGUGCCUAAUACAUGCAAGUCGAACGCAGUGGGGACGGGGGAGUAACACGUGGGUAACCUCCAAUCAGAGGGGAUAACACUUUGAAACAGGCGCUAAACCGCUAUUGCUGGAUGGACCCGGGGGGCAUUAGCUAGUUGGUGAGGUAACGGCUCACCAAGGCCACGAUGCAUCGCCGACCGGAGAGGGUGAUCGGCCACACUGGGACUGAGACACGGCCCAGACUCCUACGGGAGGCAGCAGUGGGGAAUCUUCGGCAAUGGACGAAAGUCUGACCGAGCAACGCCGCGUGAGUGAAGAAGGUUUUCGGAUCGUAAAACUCUGUUGUUAGAGAAGCGGUAUCUAACCAGAAAGCCACGGCUAACUACGUGCCAGCAGCCGCGGUAAUAC